rnacentral:lncRNA from 1 species
GGCAUGAUCUACGAUGGGUGGAAGAAAAUUUUUGCAAUCCGACAGUUUAGAUUAAUUUCGAACAAGAUCGGACAUUUGCUAUUUGUUACCGAUUGAAAAGGAGAGAUUUUACACUAUCCGACAGCUAAAAAUCGAUCUAGACUUCGAUCCGAUGAUUGGUAUUCAUCCCGACUAAAAAUAGAAAGUUUUGAGCGCAAUCCGAUGGUCAGAAUUCAAUCAGGAGUGCAAUCCAAUGGCUGUUAUCAUCCUUGAUUGUAAGAAGGACUUAAUCAAUGUUUUCUGGGCUGAUCUGGAUGGUCCAAUUAAGAUCUAAUGGCCAGAAUAAAUUGAUACGGGUAUUAUACAUUUUCUAAGGGUUUUAGGACUCCUUUUGUUAUCAGAAAAAGGUAAAAAAUUCAUCUAUAAAUAGAGGAUUCGAAAAUAAGAGUGGAAGAGAAAAAAUUAAUAAAAAAUAAAAAAAAUUAGAGAAAAAAAUUAGGGAGGUUUAGUGAUCCAAGAGAAAGGAUGAAUAUGGAGCUAGAGAUCUUGAUAUGUGGCU